GGGCGAUUAGCUCAGCGGGAGAGCACUGCCUUCACACGGCAGGGGUCACUGGUUCGAUCCCAGUAUCGCCCACCA
rnacentral:tRNA from 18 species